AUAAGGUUAAGUUAAUAAGGGCGCACGGUGGAUGCCUUGGCACUAGAAGCCGAAGAAGGACGUGACUAACGACGAAAUGCUUUGGGGAGCUGUAAGUAAGCGCUGAUCCAGAGAUGUCCGAAUGGGGGAACCCACUAGUUAAUGACUAGUAUCCAUAUCUGUUAAGGAUAUGAGAAGGAAGACGCAGUGAACUGAAACAUCUAAGUAGCUGCAGGAAGAGAAAGCAAAAGCGAUUGCCUUAGUAGCGGCGAGCGAAACGGCAGGAGGGCAAACCGAAGUGUAAACACUUC
rnacentral:rRNA from 1 species